UGGGGAGCUCAUAUGAUUCACCUAAUAUAGGAUUAAGGUAUUUAUUGGGUGAAAGUUUGGAAAGCUGGAGAGGCCUUUUUUGAAAGUAUACGACCUCCACAUAUGGGAUUGUGGCUUAGCAUUGCUGCUGAAAAGAGAUAAUUCGUCCAGGCCACUAUCGGAUGCUCACCGUGUGAAGAUUUAUAUUCACUUUUUCUCAACAUCUGAUCAAGGCUUUUUGUUUACUUCUUAUUGCGUGUCAUUGUAUUUUGACAAGAGACACCGAGAAUGAAUAUGACCCAAUUUCCGUCCAGAUACAUGAAUCUAGCCUACUAUAACUCAUAUGUGUAUAAGGAAAUGUAGUCAAAAUAUAUUUGAUUUUCGAUGA